GAUGAACGCUGGCGGCGUGCCUAAUGCAUGCAAGUCGAGCGAACAGAUAAGGAGCUUGCUCCUUUGACGUUAGCGGCGGACGGGUGAGUAACACGUGGAUAACCUACCUAUAAGACUGGGAUAACUUCGGGAAACCGGAGCUAAUACCGGAUAACAUAUUGAACCGCAUGGUUCAAUAGUGAAAGGCGGCUUUGCUGCCACUUAUAGAUGGAUCCGCGCCGUAUUAGCUAGUUGGUAAGGUAACGGCUUACCAAGGCAACGAUACGUAGCCGACCUGAGAGGGUGAUCGGCCACACUGGAACUGAGACACGGUCCAGACUCCUACGGGAGGCAGCAGUAGGGAAUCUUCCGCAAUGGGCGAAAGCCUGACGGAGCAACGCCGCGUGAGUGAUGAAGGUCUUCGGAUCGUAAAACUCUGUUAUCAGGGAAGAACAAAUGUGUAAGUAACUGUGCACAUCUUGACGGUACCUGAUCAGAAAGCCACGGCUAACUACGUG
rnacentral:rRNA from 1 species